rnacentral:antisense_RNA from 1 species
UUCACGGUGUCCGGCCAGAUCGACGACGGCUCGACGAGCAUGUCCUCGCCGUAAUAGUCGCCGCCGGAUAGCAUGCCGAGUUUGGUGGGCUCCCCGUAUUCGCCGGAGCCCAGCCGGACGAGCUUGCCGUGCACGACGAGAAUCACCUGAUCCAUGGGGUUGCCGAAUUCGGCGACGACGCUGCCCGGAUCGAGGUCGUAUUGCACGAAAUUGUCGGCGAGCGGGCGCAGCAGCGAGUCGUCCUCGAUAUCGCGCAGCGGGGGCAGUUCGCGCAAUUCCUGCGGAAUGACCCGGGCCCGCGAGCCGUCGACGACGAACUCGACCUCGCCGUUGCCGACGGUGUGCGUGAGCCGGCGGUUGACACGGUAGACACCACCCGCGACCUGCACCCACGGCAGCGCGCGGGACAGCCAGCGGGAGCUGAUGCCCUGCAUCUGCGGUUCGGACUUGGUGGUGUGCGCGAGCCGCUGGGCGGCGUCGGUACUGAGGCUCUUGCGGACGGAAUUG